rnacentral:rRNA from 1 species
GAUGAACGCUGGCGGCGUGCCUAAUACAUGCAAGUCGAGCGAACAGACGAGGAGCUUGCUCCUCUGACGUUAGCGGCGGACGGGUGAGUAACACGUGGAUAACCUACCUAUAAGACUGGGAUAACUUCGGGAAACCGGAGCUAAUACCGGAUAAUAUCUUGAACCGCAUGGUUCCAUAGUGAAAGACGGUUUUGCUGUCACUUAUAGAUGGAUCCGCGCCGCAUUAGCUAGUUGGUAAGGUAACGGCUUACCAAGGCGACGAUGCGUAGCCGACCUGAGAGGGUGAUCGGCCACACUGGAACUGAGACACGGUCCAGACUCCUACGGGAGGCAGCAGUAGGGAAUCUUCCGCAAUGGGCGAAAGCCUGACGGAGCAACGCCGCGGGAGUGAUGAAGGUCUUCGGAUCGUAAAACUCUGUUAUUAGGGAAGAACAAAUGUGUAAGUAACUAUGCACGUCUUGACGGUACCGAAUCAGAAAGCCACGGCUAACUACGUG